rnacentral:lncRNA from 1 species
AGAUUACCAAAUCAAUUCAUAUCUUCCAAAGCAACUCUCUCUCCUUCCACCCCCAUUCGACACUCACUCUCUCUCCCUCAUCUCUCACAUUUCCUCCAUUGUCAACCAUUAACGAGACCUUCAAAGCUUCACAAAAGUAUGCCAAACACAUAAAUCACCAUCAAAAUCUUACCUAAACACCUCCCAUCUACUUGAAUCCAAGGAGAUCCUUGAAGAUUGGCCUCAAAGCUAGAGAGAGAAAGUCUAAUAUUUGGUGUAAAGUUUGG